CUCAAAUCGAGCCGCCCUCCACAGCAAUGCUGCGCUGCCUGAGGCUUGUAAAAGCGGUGACUCCGGGCCAGGGAUCCGGCGCCCCCUGCUAAAUUGCGCCCUAGGCGGCUGCCUAGGUCGCCUUACAGGUAGCGUCGCCCUGCAUGGGGCUCACCCAUGAGUCCGCCCACAGGGCCCACCCUCGAGUCCACCCACAGGGCCCGCCUCGAGUCCACCCACAGGGCCCGCCUCAAGUCCACAAACAUGGUUAAAAAAAGUGGAUGCACUGUGUGUCUAUAGUGAGUGCAGUGGGUGUGUGUGUUGUGUG